AUUGAACGCUGGCGGCAUGCCUUACACAUGCAAGUCGAACGGCAGCACGGGGAGGGGCAACUCUCUCUGGUGGCGAGUGGCGAACGGGUGAGUAAUGCAUCGGAACGUGUCCUCUUGUGGGGGAUAACCAGUCGAAAGAUUGGCUAAUACCGCAUGAGAUCGAGAGAUGAAAGCGGGGGACCGCAAGGCCUCGCGCGAGAGGAGCGGCCGAUGCCGGAUUAGGUAGUUGGUGGGGUAAAGGCUCACCAAGCCGACGAUCUGUAGCUGGUCUGAGAGGACGACCAGCCACACUGGGACUGAGACACGGCCCAGACUCCUACGGGAGGCAGCAGUGGGGAAUUUUGGACAAUGGGCGCAAGCCUGAUCCAGCCAUUCCGCGUGCAGGAUGAAGGCCCUCGGGUUGUAAACUGCUUUUGUACGGAACGAAAAGGCUCUGGUUAAUACCCGGGGCUCAUGACGGUACCGUAAGAAUAAGCACCGGCUAACUACGUGCCAGCCGCCGCGGUAACAC
rnacentral:rRNA from 1 species